AUUGAACGCUGGCGGCAGGCUUAACACAUGCAAGUCGAGCGAGCGGCGGACGGGUGAGUAAUGUCUGGGAAACUGCCUGAUGGAGGGGGAUAACUACUGGAAACGGUAGCUAAUACCGCAUACCAUCAGCUCUGCCCAGAUGGGAUUAGCUAGUGGGUGGGGUAAUGGCUCACCUAGGCGACGAUCCCUAGCUGGUCUGAGAGGCUGACCAGCCACACUGGAACUGAGACACGGUCCAGACUCCUACGGGAGGCAGCAGUGGGGAAUAGUGCACAAUGGGCGCAAGCCUGAUGCAGCCAUGCCGCGUGUGUGAAGAAGGUCUUCGGGUUGUAAAGCACUGUCAGCAGGGAGGCGUUACUCGCAGAGGAAGCACCGGCUAACUCCGUGCCAGCCGCCGCGGUAAUAC
rnacentral:rRNA from 1 species